GAUGAACGCUGGCGGCGUGCUUAACACAUGCAAGUCGAACGGGAAUUAUUUUAUUGCACCUUCGGUCGAUUUAAUUUAAUUCUAGUGGCGGACGGGUGAGUAACGCGUGGGUAACCUGCCUUAUACAGGGGGAUAACAGUCAGAAAUGGCUGCUAAUACCGCAUAAGCGCACAGAGCUGCAUGGCUCAGUGUGAAAAACUCCGGUGGUAUAAGAUGGACCCGCGUUGGAUUAGCUGGUUGGUGGGGUAACGGCCCACCAAGGCGACGAUCCAUAGCCGGCCUGAGAGGGUGAACGGCCACAUUGGGACUGAGACACGGCCCAGACUCCUACGGGAGGCAGCAGUGGGGAAUAAUGCACAAUGGGGGAAACGCUGAUGCAGCGACGCCGCGUGAAGGAAGAAGUAUCUCGGUAUGUAAACUUCAAUCAGCAGGGAAGAUAGUGACGGUACCUGAAUAAGAAGCCCCGGCUAACUACGUG
rnacentral:rRNA from 1 species